rnacentral:rRNA from 1 species
UGGAUGAUGUGGUUAAUUCGAUGCAAACGCGAAAACCUUACCACCUUGACAUGUACGGAAUCCUUUAGAGAUAGAGGAGUGCUCGAAAGAGAGCCGUUAACACAGGUGCUGCAUGGCUGUCGUCAGCUCGUGUCGUGAGAUGUUGGGUUAAGUCCCGCAACGAGCGCAACCCUUGUCAUUAGUUGCUACAUUCAGUUGGGCACUCUAAUGAGACUGCCGGUGACAAACCGGAGGAAGUGGGGAUGACGUCAAGUCCUCAUGGCCCUUAUAGGUGGGGCUACACACGUCAUACAAUGGAUGGUACAAAGGGUCGCCAACCCGCGAGGGGGAGCCAAUCCCAUAAAGCCAUUCGUAGUCCGGAUCGCAGUCUGCAACUCGACUGCGUGAAGUCGGAAUCGCUAGUAAUCGUGGAUCAGAAUGUCACGGUGAAUACGUUCCCGGGUCUU